UGGGGCAGGGAGGGGGCUAAGGUGACGCAGGUGGCGCCAGCCAGGUGCACACCCAAUGCCCGUGAGCCCAGACACUGGACCCUGCCUGGACCCACGCUGAGAGACAAGAACCGAGGGGCCUCUGCACCCUGGGCCCAGCUCUGUCCCACACCGCGGUCACAUAGCACCACCUCUCUUGCAGCCUCCACCAAGGGCCCAUCGGUCUUCCCCCUGGCGCCCUGCUCCAGGAGCACCUCUGAGGGCACAGCGGCCCUGGGCUGCCUGGUCAAGGACUACUUCCCCGAACCGGUGAGCGUGUCGUGGAACUCAGGUGCCCUGACCAGAAGCGCGCCCACCUUCCCGGCUGUCCUACAGUCCUCAGGACUCUACUCCCUCAGCAGCGUGGUGACCGUGCCCUCCAGCAGCUUGGGCACCCAGACCUACACCUGCAACGUAGAUCACAAGCCCAGCAACACCAAGGUGGACAAGAGAGUUGAGCCCAAAACCCCAUGUUGUGACACAACUCACACAUGGCCACCGUGCCCAGGUAAGCCAGCCCAGGCCUCGCCCUCCAGCUCAAGGUGGGACAGGUGCCCUAGAGUAGCCUGCGUCCAGGGACAGGCCCCAACCGGGUGCUGACACGUCUGCCUCCAUCUCUUCCUCAGCAACUGAACCCCUGGGAGGACCGUCAGUCUUCGUCUUCCCCCCAAAACCCAAGGAUACCCUCAUGAUCUCCCGGACCCCUGAGGUCACGUGCGUGGUGGUGGACAUGAGCCACGAAGACCCUGAAGUCAAGUUCAACUGGUACGUGGACGGCGUGGAGGUGCAUAAUGCCAAGACAAAGCCGCGGGAGGAGCAGUACAACAGCACGUACCGUGUGGUCAGCGUCCUCACCGUCGUGCACCAGGACUGGCUGAAUGGCAAGGAGUACAAGUGCAAGGUCUCCAACGGAGCCCUCCCAGCCCCCAUCGAGAAAAUCAUCUCCAAAACCAAAGGACAGCCCCGAGAACCACAGGUGUACGCCCUGCCCCCAUCCCGGGAGAAGAUGACCAAGAACCAGGUCAGCCUGACCUGCCUGGUCAAAGGCUUCUACCCCAGCGACAUCGCCGUGGAGUGGGAGAGCAGCGGGCAGCCGGAGAACAACUACAACACCACGACUCCCAUGCUGGACUCCGACGACUCCUUCUUCCUCUACAGCAAGCUCACCGUGGACAAGAGCAGGUGGCAGCAGGGGAACGUCUUCUCAUGCUCCGUGAUGCAUGAGGCUCUGCACAACCACUACACGCAGAAGAGCCUCUCCCUGUCUCCGGAGCUGCAACUGGAGGACAGCUGUGCGGAGGCGCAGGACGGGGAGCUGGACGGGCUGUGGACGACCAUCACCAUCUUCAUCACACUCUUCCUGCUAAGCAUGUGCUACAGUGCCACCGUCACCUUCUUCAAGGUGAAGUGGAUCUUCUCCUCGGUGGUGGACCUGAAGCAGAUCAUCGUCCCCGACUACAGGAACAUGAUCGGGCAGGGGGCCUAGGGCCACCCUUUGUAGGGUGUCCAGGGCCACCCAGACCCCACACACGAGCCGUGGGCCAUGCUCAGCCACCACCCAGGCCACACCUGCCCCCGACCUCACCGCCCUCAACCCCAUGGCUCUCUGGCUUCGCAGUCACCUUCUGACCCCUGACACGCCCCCCUUCCAGACCCUGUGCAUAGCAGGUCUACCCCAGACCUCCGCUGCUUGAUGCAUGCAGGGCACUGGGGGCCAGGUGUCCCCUUAGCAGGACGUCCCUGCCCUCCAGACUGCCAGGUGCUCACACAAAAGGAGGCAGUGACCGGCAUCCCAGGCCCCCACCCAGGCAGGACCUCGCCCGGGAGCCAACCCCGUCCACGCCAGCCUCCUGAACACAGGCGUGGUUUCCAGAUGGUGAGUGGGAGCAUCAGCCGCCAAGGUAGGGAAGCCACAGCACCAUCAGGCCCUGUUGGGGAGGCUUCCGAGAGCUGCGAAGGCUCACUCAGACGGCCUUCCUCCCAGCCCGCAGCCAGCCAGCCUCCAUUCCGGGCACUCCCGUGAACUCCUGACAUGUGGAAUGAGGUUGUUCUGAUUUCAAGCAAAGAACGCUGCUCUCUGGUUCCUGGGAACAGUCUCGGUGCCAGCACCACCCCUUGGCUGCCUGCCCACACUGCUGGAUUCUCGGGUGGAACUCAACCGGCAGGGACAGCCAGCCCCAGAGUCCGCACUGGGGAGAGAAGGGGCCAGGCCCAGGACACUGCCACCUCCCACCCACUCCAGUCCACCGAGAUCACUCGGAGAAGAGCCUGACCCAUGUGGCCGCUGCAGGAGCCCCACAGUGCAAGGGUGAGGAUAGCCCAAGGAAGGGCUGGGCAUCUGCCCAGACAGGCCUCCCACAGAAGGCUGGUGACCAGGUCCCAGGCGGGCAAGACUCAGCCUUGGUGGGGCCUGAGGACAGAGGAGGCCCAGGAGCAUCGGGGAGAGAGGUGGAGGGACACCGGGAGAGCCAGGAGCGUGGACACAGACAGAACUCAUCACACAGGCUGGCGUCCAGCCCCAGGUCACGUGCAGCAGGAACAAGCAGCCACUCUGGGGGCACCAGGUGGAGAGGCAAGACGACAAAGAGGGUGCCCGUGUUCUUGCGAAAGCGGGGCUGCUGGCCACGAGUGCUGGACAGAGGCCCCCACGCUCUGCUGCCCCCAUCACGCCGUUCCGUGACUGUCACGCAGAAUCCGCAGACAGGAAGGGAGGCUCGAGCGGGAGUGCGGCCAGCGCCUGCCUCGGCCGUCAGGGAGGACUCCCGGGCUCACUCGAAGGAGGUGCCACCAUUUCAGCUUUGGUAGCUUUUCUUCUUCUUUUAAAUUUUCUAAAGCUCAUUAAUUGUCUUUGAUGUUUC